GCUGUAACGCGUGCAUGGUUUUCAUCUGUGUCUGAUAGCCGUGUCUGUCUGUGUUUUGCAUUCAGCUCUUGCUAUCCACUCAGACGUCAUGCAGCCAGAGAGCAAGUUGGGAUCAUAGUACUGGUGUAGUGUUGUCUCUUUGGACAUAUCCACCACUGGCCAGCCUCCAAAUUCCCACACACAG